rnacentral:rRNA from 1 species
AAAUUGAAGAGUUUGAUCAUGGCUCAGAUUGAACGCUGGCGGCAGGCCUAACACAUGCAAGUCGAGCGGCAGCGGAAAGUAGCUUGCUACUUUGCCGGCGAGCGGCGGACGGGUGAGUAAUGUCUGGGAAACUGCCUGAUGGAGGGGGAUAACUACUGGAAACGGUAGCUAAUACCGCAUAACGUCGCAAGACCAAAGAGGGGGACCUUCGGGC